UACGUAGGUGACGAGCGUUAUCCGGAAUUACUGGGCGUAAAGCGCGCGCAGGCGGUUCUACAAGUCUGGCGUGAAAUUCUCUGGCUUAACCAGGGGCGGUCGCUGGAGACUGUAGGACUUGAGGCGAUGAGAGGGGUGCAGAAUUCCCGGUGUAGUGGUGGAAUGCGUAGAUAUCGGGGGGAAUACCAGUGGCGAAAGCGGCACCCUGGCGUCGUACUGACGCUCAUGUGCGAAAGCGUGGGGAGCGAACGGG
rnacentral:rRNA from 1 species